CAGAGCAUCCGUAACAUCAAAGGCUACAAUGGUUUUUCAUGCAUAAUCGGAUUAAGCAUUAAAGAAAUUAAACUUUCAUUGUAUGAUUUCUACCUCUAACAUGUUGAUAUUUACUUGACAGAGUCCUUAGAAACAGCAAACUAAAGGCCAAAUAACACACACAGCAGUGAGUCUGCACACUGACUCAAAACCACAAGUUGGUUUAGUUAAAUAUAGCCAAGGGUUUUGACCCUUGUUAGAUCUUCAUGACCUUAUCAAAAUGUUUGUUUAGAUCAAGUUGCGGUUUGGAGUCAUCAUAUCAAUCCUUCAAUGGUAGCAAGUACAGACAGGGUAAUUUAAGUGAGCUAAUCCACGUGGUUCUGUCUCAGUGGAUUGAACUCUCACCAAUACCUUUUUAUCUCAGUCUUGUUUGAUUUAGUGUUUGUGCCCACUGCAAAAACAGGCUAAAAUCAGUGGUUGUGUAUUAUGAUGUGCAGAUGUUUUUGAAAGGACUAAAAGACAUUGUUUAUUUUCUAUUUCCUUAGCACAUGUUGACGAUGGUGAUACAGUAUAUAGAUGUGGUCGAGCUUAAAUGGAACUCAAAGUGUCACUGCUCCUGUUAUUACUAGCAAACCAAAGACAAACACAGACGUGAGUAUGGUUCAAUGGUAGUUCAGUAGGUCAGUGGUCAAAGGACAGGCUUAUAGUUGGCAGCUGACUGGAAUGAGAACAAAUCCAAACAGGCAGAGACGAAUCUGGCAAGCAGCAGGACAUAUACUAAGGUAAUAGGCAGGUAACAGGGCAUACAGGACUAAUGCAAAAGGCACACAUUGCUCAGAACCAUAGAACCAGUUAAGCAAGCACUGAACACAGGAAAAGCAGAAGGGACUGCUCAGGAUGGCUGCCAGGAGGUUGGACAAAGGUUGGUGAAACCACUUGGAAAGGAGACAGAAGAGACAGCUUGAGCUGCAGACACGGGUGGGACUGCUGGGGGAGGCAGUUCAGAAGCUGGAGAGACUCAUGGAACAGCUUGGGAGGACAACCUGGUGGCAGGGGAGAUGGGAAAUGGCCCAGGAGGGGAAGCCCAGAAGCCGGAAAGUCGAAACAUACAGACCCACAAAGGAUCAGGAUGAUGAGACUCAGGGGACGCAUGCAGGAUGACUGGACUUGAGGGAGGAACUACAACACUGAGGGUGAUGGUACAUGGAUGCUGGCAACAGACCGAGGACAAAUGUGAUUGGCUAAAUGGCAAAGGACAACUCCAUCCAUUAGAGCAGCUCCAACAUCAUCUGGAAGCAACACCUUCAGCCUGGACUCAAUGUUCUGCAAAGAUAUUAACAAUGACAUCAUGACAUUACUGUCCUCUAACAACAAUGCCUUUUUUUUUUUUUUUGUUAAAAACGGUAUUUGGUUUAUUUUUUGUUUUUUCUUAUUGAAUCAUUUUCAGUGAGUAUUAAGGAGUGUGUGCAGCCCUGCAAUGCACUGUAUGAGUUAGUCAUAGUUGGGCAUGUUUACAAAAUAAUGUCACUGCUGUAAAUACUGUGAGAAAAGCAGUUUAUAUUAUCAUAUAAACCAAUGAUAAUCCUGUUUACAUGAAAGAAAAUAUUGCUAAUAAUUGGAUUUUCCAGUAAAUUUUGCUGUAAGAAAAAAAUGAUGUAUGAUAAAUGAUGGAGUUUAAUAGUGCUUGGAGUUUGAGGUGCUUCUAAAACACCUGGAUGUUUUUUUGACCCACAGGUCUGGUAUUUACUACUUGGUGUUGUCUGACUGCAGAUGUAAAUGACCCUUGUCACAGAUGUCUGAUUUUCCACAAAAUAUGAUCUGAUCUGGCUUUUUAAAGACAGGUUGCGUGACUGGAAAGUAAAAGAGGUUCAAUGA